rnacentral:rRNA from 1 species
AGAGUUUGAUCCUGGCUCAGGAUGAACGCUGGCGGCGUGCCUAAUACAUGCAAGUCGAGCGAACCACUUCGGUGGGAAGCGGCGAACGGGUGAGUAACACGUAGGUGAUCUGCCCAUCAGACGGGGACAACGAUUGGAAACGAUCGCUAAUACCGGAUAGGACGAAAGUUUAAAGAUGCUCCUGGCAUCACUGAUGGAUGAGCCUGCGGCGCAUUAGCUAGUUGGUGGGGUAAAGGCCUACCAAGGCGACGAUGCGUAGCCGACCUGAGAGGGUGAACGGCCACACUGGGACUGAGACACGGCCCAGACUCCUACGGGAGGCAGCAGUAGGGAAUCUUCGGCAAUGGGCGAAAGCCUGACCGAGCAACGCCGCGUGAAUGAAGAAGGCCUUCGGGUUGUAAAAUUCUGUUAUAAGGGAAGAAAGGUGAUAGGAGGAAAUGACUAUCAAUUGACGGUACCUUAUGAGAAAGCCACGGCUAACUGCGUG